rnacentral:rRNA from 1 species
CCCUUAGAGUUUGAUCCUGGCUCAGAAUGAACGUUGGCGGCAUGGAUUAGGCAUGCAAGUCGAGCGAGAAGGAAAUCAAAGUUUACUUUGGUUUCCGGAAAGCGGCGCAAGGGAGAGUAACGCGUAGUUAUCUACUCCAAGGCCCGGAAUAGCUGCGGGAAACUGCAGGUAAUGCCGGAUAAUAUCCCCGGAUCAAAGGUGUGAUUCCGCCUUGGGAGGAGACUGCGUUGUACUAGCUUGUUGGUAGGGUAAUGGCCUACCAAGGCUACGAUGCAUAGCGGGCGUGAGAGCGUGGCCCGUCUCACUGGGACUGAAACACUGCCCAGACACCUACGGGUGGCUGCAGUCGAGAAUCUUCGGCAAUGGGCGAAAGCCUGACCGAGCAAUGCCGCGUGCGGGAUGAAGGCCCUCGGGUUGUAAACCGCUGUCGUAGAGGAGAAAGGUCUGAUGAAGAAUCAGAUUUGAUCUAUUCUAGGAGGAAGUCCGGGCUAAGUUCGUGCCAGCAGCCGCGGUAACACGAACCGGACGAACGUUAUUCGGAAUUAUUGGGCUUAAAGGGUGCGUAGGCGGUGCGGUAAGUGCGGUGUGAAAGCCCUCGGCUCAACCGAGGAAUUGCGCUGCAUACUGCCGUGCUGGAGGGAGACAGAGUAA